rnacentral:rRNA from 1 species
UACCUGCGGAGGGAUCAUUACACAAAUAUGAAGGCGGGCUGGAACCUCUCGGGGUUACAGCCUUGCUGAAUUAUUCACCCUUGUCUUUUGCGUACUUCUUGUUUCCUUGGUGGGUUCGCCCACCACUAGGACAAACAUAAACCUUUUGUAAUUGCAAUCAGCGUCAGUAACAAAUUAAUAAUUACAACUUUCAACAACGGAUCUCUUGGUUCUGGCAUCGAUGAAGAACGCAGCGAAAUGCGAUAAGUAGUGUGAAUUGCAGAAUUCAGUGAAUCAUCGAAUCUUUGAACGCACAUUGCGCCCUUUGGUAUUCCAAAGGGCAUGCCUGUUCGAGCGUCAUUUGUACCCUCAAGCUUUGCUUGGUGUUGGGCGUCUUGUCUCUAGCUUUGCUGGAGACUCGCCUUAAAGUAAUUGGCAGCCGGCCUACUGGUUUCGGAGCGCAGCACAAGUCGCACUCUCUAUCAGCAAAGGUCUAGCAUCCAUUAAGCCUUUUUUCAACUUUGACCUCGGAUCAGGUAGAAGCCCAAGU